AAAUUAUACAGCAACUAUAAAAGAAAAAAACGUUUCAUUUUAUGUAAUCCCUAAAGAUGGACUGCUAAAAGAAAAAUGGUUGUGUGUGAUUAGAACUCAAAGGUGUGA